UUCAUGUCUAUGUUGGCCAAAACUGUGGCAGCACGUAUGAUUUUGCUUUAGUAAAGCUGUCAUACCACCUUGUUCUGUCUCUUGUUUGGUACAGUCCACCAGGUUGUUCUGUUGAUGCUUGUCCUUUGUUUGUCUUCACCUUGCGUUAAUGGGAUGUUAGAUGCUAUUCCGAUUAGACUAAAGCCAUACAAAAAGCUUCAUUAGCCAAUACUAAUUUAGCUUUUAUUAGCUAUUUUUGGAGUGAAAAUAUGUUUACGGUUUUAUGACAAUUGACUUGUCCAAUUAGAAUGGUGUUGGGUGAUUGCAUUAAAGGCCAUUUCAGCAAUAGAGUUAUGAAUACAUAGACUCAUAGUUGCCAUAUUCAUUUUUCUGCUCUUGAUUUCCUCGGUUUAGCUUGCUUUUCUGCUCAUUAGUUGCAUUGGAUAAAGUAGUCAAGUUGGUUAUAUUUACUAUUAAUUUAAUCAAUUCCCUGACUCGAGAACUUGCAAAGUAUUAUCCAAUGACUAUUCAAGUCUUGAGGAAUAUGGGGAAUUCUUCCAGAGUUUCUUGAGAUGUG
rnacentral:misc_RNA from 1 species